UACAGGGGGGGGCAAGCGUUGUUCGGAAUUACUGGGCGUAAAGGGUUCGUAGGUGGCUCACUAAGUCACACGUGAAAUCCCUCAGCUUAACUGGGGAACUGCGUGUGAAACUGGAGAGCUUGAGGGUAGGAGAGGAAUGCAGAAUUCCAGGUGUAGCGGUGAAAUGCGUAGAUAUCUGGAGGAACACCGGUGGCGAAGGCGGCAUCCUGGACCAACACUGACGCUGAGUGAGCGAAAGCCAGGGGAGCAAACGGG
rnacentral:rRNA from 1 species